rnacentral:tRNA from 1 species
CAGAAAGUAGUUUAAGUAAAUAAUAAUUUUGGAGAUUAUAGUUGAUUGAUAAUCCUUUCUGA